rnacentral:rRNA from 2 species
CCGAUUGAAUGGCUCAGUGAGGCUUCCGGACUGGCUCAGGGAGGUCGGCAACGACCACCCAGAGCCGGAAAGCUAUCCAAACUUGGUCAUUUAGAGGAAGUAAAAGUCGUAACAAGGUCUCCGUUGGUGAACCAGCGGAGGGAUCAUU